GCCCCCGUAGCCCAACUGGCAGAGGCAGCCGGCUUAAACCCGGCCGAGUCCCGGUUCGAACCCGGGCGGGGGCA
rnacentral:tRNA from 1 species